rnacentral:rRNA from 1 species
CCUACGGGAGGCAGCAGUGAGGAAUAUUGGUCAAUGGACGAGAGUCUGAACCAGCAAAGUAGCGUGAAGGAUGACUGCCCUAUGGGUUGUAAACUUCUUUUAUAUGGGAAUAAAAUGUUCCACGUGUGGGAUUUUGUAUGUACCAUAUGAAUAAGGAUCGGCUAACUCCGUGCCAGCAGCCGCGGUAAUACGGAGGAUCCGAGCGUUAUCCGGAUUUAUUGGGUUUAAAGGGAGCGUAGGUGGAUUGUUAAGUCAGUUGUGAAAGUUUGCGGCUCAACCGUAAAAUUGCAGUUGAAACUGGCAGUCUUGAGUACAGUAGAGGUGGGCGGAAUUCGUGGUGUAGCGGUGAAAUGCUUAGAUAUCACGAAGAACUCCGAUUGCGAAGGCAGCUCACUGGACUGCAACUGACACUGAGGCUCGAAAGUGUGGGUAGCAAACAGGAUUAGAUACCCCAGUAGUC